AGCAGGCGCACCUGUUGCUGUUGCACCUGCUGUUGCACCUGCUGUUGUUGCUGCUGCUGUUGCACCUGCUGCUGUUGUUGCUGCU
rnacentral:sRNA from 1 species